AUUGAACGCUGGCGGCAUGCCUUACACAUGCAAGUCGAACGGUAACAGGUUAAGCUGACGAGUGGCGAACGGGUGAGUAAUGUAUCGGAACGUGCCCAGUCGUGGGGGAUAACUGCUCGAAAGAGCAGCUAAUACCGCAUACGACCUGAGGGUGAAAGCGGGGGAUCGCAAGACCUCGCGCGAUUGGAGCGGCCGAUAUCAGAUUAGGUAGUUGGUGGGGUAAAAGCCCACCAAGCCGACGAUCUGUAGCUGGUCUGAGAGGACGACCAGCCACACUGGGACUGAGACACGGCCCAGACUCCUACGGGAGGCAGCAGUGGGGAAUUUUGGACAAUGGGCGCAAGCCUGAUCCAGCCAUGCCGCGUGCGGGAAGAAGGCCUUCGGGUUGUAAACCGCUUUUGUCAGGGAAGAAAAGGUUCUGGUUAAUACCUGGGACUCAUGGCGGUACCUGAAGAAUAAGCACCGGCUAACUACGUGCCAGCCGCCGCAGUAAGAC
rnacentral:rRNA from 1 species